UUAAUAACAAGAGUAAAACAUUGGUUUCUCCACUUCCUUUGCAGAGAGAUGCCCCAAGCAGAGUCCAUACAGUGGAGGCUGUAUCACCCAUGAGACCGUUAAAUCAGGGUACCUCCCCACUCUCUCUUAGUCUCUCCAGGAGGCGACUGCAGUAUGGUCUUCUGCAGUGAUGUGCUUUCCUGUACACGUCCCACAGCCUGCAUUUCCCCUUGUGGGAUAAACACAGCAUGUAUUGUGAAUAUAUAACGUUCCCCCUAGUGAAAAAGCAUGGGAUGACAUCCAUGUGUAGACAUAGUGCUUAAAAUUCAGUAGUCUGGUUUUCUUUUUUGAAAUAUUAUG